UCCGGUUUGUCACCGGCAGUCUCCCUAGAGUUCCCGACUUUACUCGUUGGCAACUAGGCACAGGGGUUGCGCUCGUUACGGGACUUAACCCAACAUCUCACAACACGAGCUGACGACAGCCAUGCAGCACCUGUCUCUCGGUUCCCGAAGGCACUCCAGCAUCUCUGCCAGAUUCCGAGGAUGUCAAGGGUAGGUAAGGUUCUUCGCGUCGCAUCGAAUUAAACCACAUGCUCCACCGCUUGUGCGGGCCCCCGUCAAUUCCUUUGAGUUUUAAUCUUGCGACCGUACUCCCCAGGCGGAAGACUUAUCGCGUUAGCUUCGAUACUGCAUGGUUUUAUCCAUCCAACAUCUAGUCUUCAUCGUUUACAGCAUGGACUAC
rnacentral:misc_RNA from 1 species